UGCAUGUCUCAGUACAUGCCGAAUUAAGGUGAAACCGCGAAUGGCUCAUUAAAUCAGUUAUGGUUCAUUAGAUCGUGGACACAUUUACUUGGAUAACUGUGGUAAUUCUAGAGCUAAUACAUGCAAACAGAAUUCCUCUCAGAGAUGGGAGGAAUGCUUUUAUUAGAUCAAAACCAAUCGGUGGCGGACGGCUCGUCCGUUCGUCCAUCGUUUGUUUUGGUGACUCUGAAUAACUUUGUGCUGAUCGCAUGGUCAUCUAGCACCGGCGACGCAUCUUUCAAAUGUCUGCCUUAUCAACUGUCGAUGGUAGGUUCUGCGCCUACCAUGGUUGUAACGGGUAACGGGGAAUCAGGGUUCGAUUCCGGAGAGGGAGCCUGAGAAACAGCUACCACAUCCAAGGAAGGCAGCAGGCGCGCAAAUUACCCACUCCCGGCACGGGGAGGUAGUGACGAAAAAUAACGAUACGGGACUCAUCCGAGGCCCCGUAAUCGGAAUGAGUACACUUUAAAUCCUUUAACGAGGACCAAUUGGAGGGCAAGUCUGGUGCCAGCAGCCGCGGUAAUUCCAGCUCCAAUAGCGUAUAUUAAAGUUGUUGCGGUUAAAAAGCUCGUAGUUGAAUCUGUGUGUCACAGUGUCGGUUCACCGCUCGCGGUGUUUAACUGGCAUUAUGUGGUACGUCCUAUCGGUGGGCUUAGCUCCUUGCGGGCGGUCCAACUAAUAUCCCAUCGCGGUGCUCUUCACUGAGUGUCGAGGUGGGCCGAUACGUUUACUUUGAAAAAAUUAGAGUGCUUAAAGCAGGCUACCUUUGCCUGAAUACUGUGUGCAUGGAAUAAUGGAAUAGGACCUCGGUUCUAUUUUGUUGGUUUUCGGAACCCCGAGGUAAUGAUUAAUAGGGACAGAUGGGGGCAUUCGUAUUGCGACGUUAGAGGUGAAAUUCUUGGGAUCGUCGCAAGACGGACAGAAGCGAAAGCAUUUGCCAAAAAUGUUUUCAUUAAUCAAGAACGAAAGUUAGAGGUU
rnacentral:rRNA from 1 species